GGAAUAUUGGUCAAUGGGCGAGAGCCUGAACCAGCCAAGUAGCGUGCAGGACGACGGCCCUAUGGGUUGUAAACUGCUUUUGGAGGGGAAUAAAGUGGCGUACGUGUACGUUUUUGUAUGUACCCUCAGAAUAAGGACCGGCUAAUUCCGUGCCAGCAGCCGCGGUAAUACGGAAGGUCCGGGCGUUAUCCGGAUUUAUUGGGUUUAAAGGGAGCGCAGGCUGGAGAUUAAGCGUGACGUGAAAUGUCCCGGCUCAACCGGGGAGUUGCGUCGCGAACUGGUUUUCUUGAGUGCGGACGAGGUAUGCGGAAUUCGUGGUGUAGCGGUGAAAUGCUUAGAUAUCACGAAGAACCCCGAUUGCGAAGGCAGCGUACCAGGCCGUAACUGACGCUAAUGCUCGAAGGUGCGGGUAUCGAACA
rnacentral:rRNA from 1 species